rnacentral:rRNA from 1 species
AGUAACACGUGGAUAACCUACCUAUAAGACUGGGAUAACUUCGGGAAACCGGAGCUAAUACCGGAUAAUAUUUUGAACCGCAUGGUUCAAAAGUGAAAGACGGUCUUGCUGUCACUUAUAGAUGGAUCCGCGCUGCAUUAGCUAGUUGGUAAGGCAACGGCUUACCAAGGCAACGAUGCAUAGCCGACCUGAGAGGGUGAUCGGCCACACUGGAACUGAGACACGGUCCAG